rnacentral:rRNA from 1 species
GACAGAGGGUGCAAACGUUGUUCGGAAUUACUGGGCGUAAAGCGCACGUAGGCGGCUUUUUAAGUCAGGGGUGAAAUCCUGGAGCUCAACUCCAGAACUGCCUUUGAUACUGAGAAGCUUGAGUCCGGGAGAGGUGAGUGGAACUGCGAGUGUAGAGGUGAAAUUCGUAGAUAUUCGCAAGAACACCAGUGGCGAAGGCGGCUGACUGGUCCGGUUCUGACGCUGAGGCGCGAAAGCGUGGGGAGCAAACAGG